rnacentral:rRNA from 1 species
UACGGAGGAUCCAAGCGUUGUCCGGAUUUAUUGGGUUUAAAGGGUGCGUAGGCGGAUCUUUAAGUCAGUGGUGAAAUCCUGCAGCUUAACUGUAGAACAGCCAUUGAAACUGAGGAUCUUGAAUUUGGUUAAAGUAGGCGGAAUGUAUCAUGUAGCGGUGAAAUGCUUAGAUAUGAUACAGAACACCGAUAGCGAAGGCAGCUUGCUGAACCAAUAUUGACGCUGAGGCACGAAAGCGUGGGGAGCGAACAGG